rnacentral:rRNA from 1 species
AACGAACGCUGGCGGCAUGCCUAACACAUGCAAGUCGAACGAGACCUUCGGGUCUAGUUGCGCACGGGUGCGUAACGCGUGGGAACCUGCCCUUAGGUUCGGAAUAACUCCCCGAAAGGGGUGCUAAUACCGGAUAAUGUCUUCGGACCAAAGAUUUAUCGCCUUUGGAUGGGCCCGCGUUGGAUUAGCUAGUUGGUAGGGUAAAAGCCUACCAAGGCGACGAUCCAUAGCUGGUCUGAGAGGAUGAUCAGCCACACUGGGACUGAGACACGGCCCAGACUACUACGGGAGGCAGCAGUGGGGAAUAUUGGAAAAUGGGCGAAAGGCUGAACCAGCAAGGCCGCGUGAGUGAUGAAGGCGUUAGGGUUGUAAAGCUCUUUUACCCGGGAUGAUAAUGACAGUACCGGGAGAAUAAGCACCGGCUAACUCCGUG